GUUAUUCAUUGCAAGCAGUUUCAGAUUGAGUAAGUACUUGGUUUUUCUAUCCAAUACUGUAGUAAGCUUGCGUAUUUCUAUCAUAUAUACCCAAACCUGUUUUGAUGUAAGGUGAACUGAAAGAGGAUAAGGAAUGCAGCUAGUAAUGUUUUCCCUCUCACCUCUAGCAACAGGGUGAAAUGUUGCUAAGUGAAAGUUUGCAAAUAAAGUGGUACCUCGGGUUGCAUACGCUUCAGGUUACAGACUCUGCUAACCCAGAAAUAUGGUAGUACCUUGGUUUAAGAACUUUGCUUCAGGAUGAGAACAGAAAUCGCCUGGCGGUGGCACGGCGGCAGCAGGAGACCCCAUUAGCUAAAGUGGUGCUUCAGGUUAAGAACAGUUUCAGGUUAAGUACGGACCUCCGGAAUGAAUUAAGUACGUAACCAGAGGUACCACUGUACACAUUUACGGAGAAGUGCUUGCAAAACUAUUGGGCGUGUGAACAUUUUGAAUGAGAAAGGAUUCCAUAGCUCCUCCUUCAGUGAUGUGCCAUAUCACCAAAAAAAUAAAUAAAUAAAAUUAGUUUCCUGUUUUUUCACCUUUCCACAAUAAGGUGUAAAUAAAGUCAUGCCCACUUUUCAAAUGACAAAACAUUGCAUUGGGAAGUUUGGGAUAGAAAGCAGUUUACAAAAUAUACCAUCAAUCAAUAAAUUCAAAUAAGACAAAAAUCAACCGUUUAUGAAGCAUCAUCAAAUAAAUCAAUACUGUAUUGCAAAAGAAAUAAUCUAGACUUGAAUACAUACCAAAAAAGAUGUUAAAUUAUUUUCGUAUGCUACAACUGCUGCUCAAAUUUUACUAGCCAAAAAGUGGAAAACGCAAGAAUUACCAAUGGUGGAAGAAUGGCAGAUAAAGAUGAUGGAUUUUUCGGAGCUAGCCGACCUAACCAGAAGAGUCCGUGACCAGAAGGAGGAGGAGUAUCAGGAAGACUGGAUUAAAUUUAAUGAUUAUUUAGUUAAAUAUGUUAAGUUAAAUUAAUUGGAAAUAGCUUGUAGAUACUUAAUUGGCUUAGGAUUUUACUUAAGUUAAGUGAUGAAUUAAUAUGUUUAAUUUCAAAAGGAAAAGAUCUAAGGAUGUUAAUGUUCAACUUAAACUUUAUAAGAACUGUGAUUUGGAAAACCGUUAAAAGGACAUGCAAUGAAAUUCAACCAAGGGGAAGCGAGGAAGUCACUUAACAAUGUUAAUAAGUAUAAUUUUUUAAUAAGGUUAUGAAUUAUGUUUGUUUUUUGCAUGUGUUUGUUUGUUUAUAAUUUUGUGAAAACCAAUAAAAAAAUUUGGGGGGGAGAGGACUUAAAUACAUAAGUUCAAAGCCACAAGAAAGAAGACGAGGACAGCUGGCUGCUGGUUCAGACCUUCUGACACUUGCAGGCCCCCUAGGAGUGGGGCUGAGACACAGCUCAGAGCAGGGGGGGCCUUCUCUCCAGGCUAGAUUACUUGCAGCUGGCUCCCACAUCUCUCCUCCAGAGGAGACUUACAGAAGCACAAGGGAAAAGCUGCAGAGGGCAAUGAUGCUGAGGGCCCUUCUUCACCUUCCUGGAAGUUGCAGCGGCUGCACUUGUAGGUCUUCUUCACUAAGAGCAGGCUCCAUGGCGGGUGAAGCGGAGCAAGGAUCCCAUACAGGUAAAGGUAAAGGUAAAGGAACCCCUGACCAUUAGGUCCAGUCAUGACCAACUCUGGGGUUGAAGCGCUCAUCUUGCUUUAUUGGCCAAGGGAGCCGGCGUACAGCUUCUGGGUCAUGUGGCCAGCAGGACUAAGCCGCUUCUGGCGAACCAGAGCAGCGCUCGGAAAUGCCGUUUACCUUCCCACUGGAGCGGUACCUAUUUAUCUACUUGCACUUUGACGUGCUUUCGAACUGCUACUUUGGCAGGAGCAGGGACCGAGCAACGGGAGCUCACCCCGUCACGGGGAUUUGAACUGCCAACCUUCUGAUUGGCAAGUCCUAGGCUCUGUGGUUUAACCCACAGCGCCACCCGCGUCCCAUCCAUCCCAUACAGAGGAUGCUGCUAAUAAAAUUGCACGUAGCAUGAAGCAAGGUUUUUUUUAAAAAAAAAAUUCAAGGAGGGCUACAGGGAAAUAAAUGGACAAGACAGAAGAGGGAAUAAAGCUGUAAGCUCACGGGAGGUAAUGCUACAAACUGCCUGGUGGGUCAGUGAGUGUGGAUGAUGCACUGGGAAGCAGAAGAUGGGGGACUGAGCCCCACCUGGGAAGAUGCACAUGGAGCCUCCAUAUGGUCCAGCUAACCUCAGAGAUCUUGCUGACCACCAUCACUGUAUAUUAAAGAUGGAGUUGCAGGAGUAGGAUUGCUCCCGGUCUGUCUACACACUUUCUUUUUUGGCUGCUUUCAGGUCAUUCAGAAAUACUCUGGGAGGUUCCUUCAUAAACGCCAGAAGAAUGUUUUGUGUGUGUGGUAGGGAGUGCAUAGAAAUCUCGCCAGCAUUACUUAAGUCUCUCUUGCCAGGAAAAGAGGUGUUUUUCUGCCAGCCUUGCUCUCUGUGGCACUUCUCUUAUGCACUUGUACGUGAUGAGAGAGAGAAAUACUUAUUCUUCCGUGUCAUCUUGAGACUCUUCUGGGCUCUAGCCAGAAAGGAGUCUCCUUGUUCCAGGUUAGGAAAGAAUCAACUUUCUUCUCUGGAGAGAAGACAGAGACUGGAAUUUAUGGAAUAAUGCUGGGAGCGACGUCUAUUAGGCCAAUGAUUUUCUCUGCAAUCAUUUUGUGGAUAUGCAGUCAGGACUUCUCAGAAAGGGAGAAAACCACUGUAUGGUUUGCUUGUGGCUAAAUAUCUAUGUAGUCUAUACAAACAGAAAUUCUUCUUUCAGAACAUAUUUUUGCAUUGUGAAUGAUUGAUGUUUCCUUUUGGGUGUUUACAGUGGAAAUGAUAUUGCAGGCAGUGGAAGAUGUGGAAAUUGCCAAGCACUAAGAUGAAUCAGCUGGUCAGAGGCAAUGUUCUGGAAGCUGACUAAUAUUGCAUCAUCAAUAACUUUCUGGAUCUGUCAUGAACAUCCAUCUACGGAAAGAUGCUUAACAGAAUUUUAAUUAUGACUGCCAGUUUCCUUGCCCUAAAGAGACAAAAAUUGCAAGGCCUCUUGUGGAGAUGCUAUUCUCUGUGAUAGAAGAUUUGGUGUGGAAUUUGAAGCCUAAAGGAAAACCAAGGUGUCAAUUCAGGAUCACCUUCUGGACUGCAGGCAGUGCCCCAAAGCCACUACUUGAGUUGUUGGCGAUUUGGGUUCAAAAAGAGUUUUCAUUCAAUUAUCAGUACUUGGAGAAAUUCUGGGAUGGAUUAUUGAGAUUGGCCUGUGAAUCCUCAAAAAAAGAAUUUCUGGAUGAAUAAUUCUCACUAUUUGUUCAGCACAAAACAGAGAAAGAUGUUGCGUUUGGGUACCAACAGGUGUGUGGGAGAAGGCAGUGUUUGAACUAGCCAGGUGCCAGGUACCUUUUCCCACUCAGGAGCGCCCCCUUGAGACCAAGUGCAGAUUUCCUGUUGCAAGGUUUGUGACUGAAAACCUCCACUCUUGAGCUUUUGGCAUUCCCCUUUGCUACUCCCCUGAAGCCUUUUGAAAUGCCAAAGAGACUCCAUCGUGGAGCUGUUUGCAUAAGUAAACAAACAAACUGCAAAGCUCUUUCAUGUGUUUAAGUGGAUGCUUAUUUGAAUUGCCAACUUUGCAGGAGACAGAGCAAACUGUCCUCCUGUCCUGGGCUGUUCCCACCCUCCCCUGGGUUUACAAAAGCUGUAGCAACUGAUUUUAAAGCUGUAGCAACUGAUUUUUCGGGACGUGGGUGGCUCUGUGGUUUAACCCACAGCUUGCUGAUCAGAAGGUCGGCGAUUCGAAUCCCCGCGACGGGUGAGCUCCCGUUGCUCGGUCCCUGCUCCUGCCAACCUAGCAGUUCAAAAGCACAUCAAAGUGCAAGUAGAUAAAUAGGUACCACUCCAGCAGGAAGGUAAACGGCGUUUCCGUGCACUGCUCUGGUUCGCCAGAAGCGGCUUAGACUUGCUGGCCACAUGACCCGGAAACUACGCCGGCUCCCUUGGCCAAUAAAGUGAGAUGAGUGCUGCAACCCCAGAGUCGGCCACGACUGGACCUAAUGGUCAGGCGUCCCUUUACCUUUAACUGAUUUUUCAGUUGGCCCACUUUCACUUAUCCCUUUAGCUCUCUCUGCCUUUGCUCUGUGUUUUCAGCUCCCUUUCAGUUCCUUGCUCCUAGACAGGAGGGGGGUGAAUUACCUGCCUCCCCUUCUUCCUUCUCCCCCACCAGGAGCCAUGUGACAAAUACCGUAGCUUUUCCAUCCUGGUUUCUAACACAGGUAGAAGGACAAUCUGAUUAAUAAUCAUGCACAACCCCUUCAAGAUGGGCGUUCCUCCUUGAAGUUGUUUUGUAGUUUUCGUAGCAAAUCAUGCUAUGUGUUCCUACAUUCAAGCUCAUUCUGAUUCUUUUUUUCCAAGGUAACAAAUGAUACAAUAAUAAAAAUCACCACAAUAAUAAAAAUCACCACAUUCACUCACUUUUUUUUAUUUGAAGAUUUUGGCAAUUUUGGUCUCCCAGUGUCUGUAUAUCUCAGCGGCAAUGUGCUGUGAUUUGAUGCUUAGUUACCUGAUUCAGGGAGCACAAAUUCUUUCCCUCCUCUAAAGAUUUUGCCGCCAUGGGAGGGAAAGGAUUUGUGCUACCUGUGGAGGCUGGUGUCGAGUUUCACUGGUUAUGGGGGUAUAGCCACGGAUUGGACAAUUUGUGGGUUGGACCUAAGGGUUGCCGUCCCCUCGGCCAUCUAUAUCCCACCCAUAACUUUAGCAAUUUGGGCAGGAGAUCUUCCCAGGUGGAAUGGCUCUGCCAGGGGACUCUUCUGCCAUUGCAUCUGUUUGUCACACAAUGGUGUGACCUGCUCUACUGUGUUUGGGCUUCUGCUCAAUCUUGCAGACCUGAGUGAUUGGUUCUCUCUCUCUCUCUCUCUCUCUCUCUCUCUGAUAACAUUUUAUUAAUUUUCCAAAAACAACAAAAAAUAAAGAAAUAAAAACAAUCACAACAAUACAUAAAGAAAAAGAAAAUGCAAACAUGAUAAACAAAUUUUUGAACCAUAAUUUUGCUUGACUUCCCUUCACUCCCCCUCUUGGUUCCAUUGUUUAGUACUUGUUCAUGCACGUCCACAAAACAUUAUAAUCUUAAUAAUCCAAUUUUAAACCUUCUUCAUCUUAUUACAAUUCACUUUUUACAGUUAUACUAAUGUAAAUAUCUAUACACAAAGCUUAAAGGUUAUGCAUUGAACAUUUAUCCCUUUUUUAAAAAAAAAAAUUCAAAGUCCUGAGUGAUUGGUUUUCUCAGUCAAGGAUGGCUUGAGUUUUUUAAAAAUGAAGUCAGUCUUGUUCCCAGGAGUGGAAUUCUCUGUUGUUAGAAUGACUGGGGACUCAUAUUCCCCCCACUGCGCUGAAAUGUUUCUAUUUUCAGAAGGUUAAUUAGUGGAUUCCUAAUGAGAACUGACUUAAUAAUAGCAGCUGUUACUGCUUGUGAAUCUUCUAGGACUCCCAACAUAUUUUGGAGUCUCUCCUCUUUUUUUGUUGGCAAGUAUUUGGGUCUAAACCACAGAGCCUAGGGCUUGCCGAUCGGAAGGUUGGCGGUUCGAAUUCCUGCAACGGGGUGAGCUCCCGUUGCUCGGUCCCUGCUCCUGCCAACCUAGCAGUUUGAAAGCACGUCAAAGUGCAAGUAGAUAAAUAGGUACCACUCUGGAGGGAAGGUAAACAGUGUUUCCAUGCGCUGCUUUGGUUUGCCAGAAACGGCUUAGUCAAGCUAUACGCCGGCUCCCUUGGCCAAUAAAGUGAGAUGAGCGCUGCAACCCCAGAGUUGGCCGCGACUGGACCUAACGGUCAGGGGUCCCUUUACCUUUUUAUUUGGGGGUGGCAAACAUAUUCAGUAGCAUCAAAAUGUUAUUGAUAGCCAAUGUUAAGAAUCAAACUACAGUUUUACCAGUAUUGAAUUCCCAGCAUCAAGGGAUGGGGGCCAUUCAGGAAGUGGGAAAAAAAGAGGCAAUCUGUGCAGUAACUGAAAGUGGAGAAGUGAGGUGGGGUAAAACACAGGCAGUUGCACAAACAGGGGUAAAGUUGCAACAAACAACCCUUGAGAGUCAUUGCAAUAAGGCUGUUUGAAAAGCUACAUUUAUUUUAUAUGACUGUGAAAACUUGUAAGCGCUUUACAUCAAAUGCACAUUAAAAUUACUGAUGAAGGUCAGAAGUUAAGAACAAGUUGACCUAAAAAUAUCAAAAUACAAAUAGGACCAGCAGUUUAAAAUGCGUGCUGUAAAAAAGCUUCAUAUUAAAAGACGUAUCAACUUUACGUACAGUGAGCCAUCUACCUAAUAUCAAGGGGCAGGGAGUCUCAAAGUGUAGAUGCUGUUAUGGCAACAGAUGGAUCCUGUACGAACCUUAUUUCUGCAGAUUGAAGUGGCUGAGUGGCCAUUGAUGGGGUAAGACGAUCCAGUUUAAGUAAACAGCUUGCCAGCUGUUAAGGGCUUUAUCUACUAAUAGUGAGACCUAGGAUACCACAUCCUUAUGUGACAUACGAGUGUUUCAGAGCCUAGGCCUGCUUACAGGCAGCAUUUAGCCUCGUGCAGAAACGAAUUCCUAAUUUAACAAGGUUGCUGGAGAGAUUUAAGAGGAUUUUGACGCAAACACACUAUAUGCAACAAUGAAGAAUUAACGCGGUGUCUUGUGUGUGCUGUGUGAGGGCAAUAGCACUGCGAAGGAGGAGGUGCUGGGAACAAGGUCCCAAGGAGAAAAUCCGGAUCAAUUUAGGAGCCUGUAUGAAGCCCAGUGACACUGGUGGUGCUGGGGGUUAAACCACUGAGCCUAGGGCCUGUCAAUCAGAAGGUCGGCGGUUCGAAUCCCUGCGACAGGGUGAGCUCCCGUUGCUUGGUCCCUGCUCCUGCCAACCUAGCAGUUUGAAAGCACAUCAAAGUGCAAGUAGAUAAAUAGGUACCGCUCCGGCGGGAAGGUAAACAGCGUUUCCAUGCGCUGCUCUGGUUCGCCAGAAGCAGCUUAAUCAUGCUGGCCACAUGACCCGGAAGCUGUACGCCGGCUCCCACGGCCAAUAAAGUGAGAUAAGUGCCGGAACCCCAGAGUCGGUCACGACUGGACCUAAUGGUCAGGGGUCCCUUUACCUUUAUGAAGCCCACAGGCUGGUGGAAUCUGUAGGGCUGGCCAAUAUAAAGAUGUAUUGUCAUUUAGUCAUGUCCGACUCUUUGUGACCCCAUGGACCAGAGCACGCCAGGCACUCCGGUCUUCCACUACCUCCCGCAGUUUGGUCACGCUCAUCUUACAUUCCAGGUUCCUGUGCAAUAUUUUUCUUUACAGCAUUGGACUUUCCUUUCGCUUCCAGGCAUAUCCGCAACUGAGCAACCUUUAGACUUUGGCCCAGCUGCUUCAUCAGCUCUGAAUCUACUUGUACUUGUCCUCUGCUCUUCCUCAGUAGCAUGUUGGACACCUUCUGACCUGAGGAGCUCAUCUUCCAGCGUCAUAACUUUCAUAUGCCUGUUGUCUUUGUCCAUGGAGUUUUCUUGGCAGGGAUACUGGAGUGGCUUGCCGGUUCCUGCUCCAGGUGGAUCACGUUUAGUCAAAACUCUCCACUAUGACCUGUCCGUCUUGGGUGGCCCUGCAUGGCGUAGCUCAUAGCUUCUCUGAGUUAUUCAAGCCCCUUCGCCACGGCAAGACAGUGAUCCAUGAAGGAGCAACUCUACCUAGAGAUGCCUAAACAUGCAAAGGUCAGCUGGAGGAGGGGGUAUUCCUGAUACGCAGGUGAUUUUUUUGGGUGUGGGUGUGGGCAGCCUAGCCUGUGCCCAGCCCCCUACACACACCUGACUUCUUGGGAUGAGGCCUAGGGUCUGAAGAGGGAUAAUAUUGUUCAUCAACAUGUACAGAAACCAUGGGGAAAGCAUCUUUCCAUUUUCAUGUACACGGCGACAUUUAACCAUCCAAGGACAUUUUGUUGCUAAUCCACUUAAGAGUCUCGCCGUGGGCAGAAUGAGCUCUGAGCUUCUGCUCUUCAAUCCCAUUCUUGGCUCACGGCAGCCUUUGGAGCUCUUCACAAAACUGCGGGGACAAUAAGGACAGAGGACAGAGCAAGAGAUGGUUCCCAUGGGGGUUCGACUGGAAGAGGCUGGAUUUCUGUUGGAGUGGGGAGGAGAAGAAGAUGUGGUAGAGGCAGGACUCAGAGACACGCUGAAUCCACACACCACCUUCCUAGGCCGCUGAUGGUGUGAUGCAGAAGCGCAAGAGAAAAGAGGAAUAAUGUCAUGUUGGCAGCCUGGAGCCAGUCAAGUGUUUGGACUGUGCUAAUGUAAAUAAGCGGGACGUGGGUGGUGCUGUGGGUUAAACCACAGAGCCUAGGACUUGCUGAUCAGAAGGUCGGCAGUUUGAAUCCCUGCGACGGGGUGAGCUCCCAUUGCUCGGUCCUUGCUCCUGCCAACCUAGCAGUUCGAAAGCACGUCAAAGUGCAAGUAGAUAAAUAGGUACCGCUCUGGCGGGAAGGUAAAUGGCGUUUCCGUGUGCUGCUCUGGUUUCGCCAGAAGCUGCUUAGUCAUGCUGGCCACAUGACCUGGAAGCUGUACGCCGGCUUUCUCAGCCAAUAAAACGAGAUGAGCGCCGCAACCCCAGAGUCGGUCACGACUGGACCUAAUGGUCAGGGGUCCCUUUAUCUUUACCGUCCCUGGUAAAUACUGUUACCCCUCUCCCCCCACCCUCUACCAAACAUCUGAAAGGCCAAAUGUUCAACCCAGUUUUUGGAGAGGUGCCAAUGAAAAGACAAAACCACUUUCUUCCUUUCAUGUUUUGUGAGUAUGCUUUGUUAAGGGGCAGCCAUGGGGCUGGCAAAAUUUAUUGGAACUAUUCAACACUUUGCUGUGCUGGUAGGGUGGCUGCCAUUUUAGAUUUCCUCCCAAAAGUCCAGUUUGGGGCAUUUCUAGAUACAACCUCUGAGGGGAAAUGGUACAAGGGUGUUGUUCUGCAGGAAUUUGGGAACCAUUUCUCUCUCUCUCUCCCAAUAUCAAGUGGGUGUAAAUUGGAGAGAGGAAUUCACUGUCAAUCUAGCACAGAAACAGAACCCAAUUAGUGUCAGUAGUGGCAGCAAACAGCAAUGUAUAACCUAUAAUUUUAAACAGGAAGAACAAAAAUUAAUUUGGAUCUAAGUUGCAUAAGUAUAGGUUUUUCUUAUCAGUGAAUAGCUUCAUUAUGCUGAUACAAUUAAAGAGUUUCAUUUGCAAUGACUCUACCUCAUUUUUUGUGCUAGCCCCUAGAAACAUUGUAACCUGUUUUAUUCCGUAUCUGAGUUAGAUCUGUUGAUUGCAGAACUUCUUUCAGUGCCUGAAAAUAGCUCUGAAACUGCUGCUGCGUGUAUUCCAUGUUGUGGCUGGCUGCAAAGGUCCUGGGAACUGUAACUUUUUAUGGGUGCUGGGAAUUGUAGUCACUCCCAGUGUAAACUUUCUUUGGGGGGGGGGAUUUGUUGGAUGUGUCAGGAAGCAUCUCCACUUGCACUGAAGACUGAUGUGUCUGCAUGGGAAAGGAGGAGCUGGAGCUCAUUAUUAUUAUUAUUAUUAUUAUUAUUAUUAUUAUUUACUUAUACCCAGCCCAUCUGGCCGGGCCUCCCCAGCCGUUCUAGGCGGCUUCCAACAGGAUAAACACAAGAACACAAUAAAACAUCAAACAUUAAAAACUUCCCUAAACAGGGCUGCCUUCAGAUGUCUUCUAAAAGUCAGAUAGUUGUUUAAUUCCUUGACAUCUGGUGGGAGGGCGUUCCACAGGGCAGGCACCACCACCGAGAAGGCCCUCUGCCUAGACCAUGGGCCAGAGGCCAUUUAACUGGCCCACAAGCUGCCCCUGAACCUCUUGGCAAAUCCCUGCAUGCUGUGCUAAACCGGCACAGCACAGUGUGAGGACUCUCUUCCAUGGCUCCAGAAAUUGCUUCUGUGCAUGCCCAGACACAGGAAAUCGCAUCUGCGCAUGUCUGCGGCACCAGAAAUCGCUUUUGCACAUGCUCAGAUGCCAAAAAUUGCUUCUGUGCAGGCACGAUUUUUGGCAUCUGGGCAUGUGCAGAAGUGAUUUCCAUCACCAUGGACAUGCACAGACAAGAUUUCUGGCGUCGCACUGCGCCGGCCCGGCCCAUGGAGGAUCUCUGCAGGAGUGAUCCGGCCUUGCCGACCCCUGGCCUAGACCGUCCUUUAAGCUGCCCUAACCUCCUUCAGACUACUAGACUGACACUCCUGCGGCUGCGGACAUCAUUUCCCGCUCCCUACUUCUUUGUGAGAGGAGACCCCUGUUUUGCAGGUCUCUCCAUCCAAGAUGUAAGAUGGAAGCAUGGCUCAUUGCAUCUCCUGCUUAGUUAGUUAGAACUGGGAUCGUAACUAUGCCUGUAUUUCCUACAAUAAACAGAGUUUUCUGAUUUUGUUAGAUUCAAGAGUAUCAGUCUGAUGACAUCCAGGGCAAAGGAAGCUCCUCCAGCAGGAAUUCAGUCUUAACUCCAAUGUUUGUUGGCGUUUAAAGGGAAAGGUAAAGGGACCCCUGACCGUUAGGUCCAGUCAUGACCGACUCUGGGGCUGUAGCGCUCCCUCUCACUUUAUUGGCUGAGAGAGCCGGCGUACAGCUUCCCGGUCACGUGGCCAGCAUGACUAAGCCGCUUCUGGCAAAUCGGAGCAGCGCACGGAAACACUGUUUACCUUCCCGCUGGAGCGGUACCUAUUUACCUACUUGCACUUAGAUGUGCUUUCGAACUGCUAGGCUGGCAGGAGCAGGGACCGAGCAACGGGAGCUCACCCCAUCGGGGAGAUUCGAACCGCUGACCUUAUGAUCGGCAAGUCCUAGGCUCUGUGGUUUAGCCCAUAGCACCACCCGCGUCCUUAGUUGCAUGCCCAUAUAGUGCCUCAAUAUCAUCAAAGGGCAAUAUCUCGACAUUGAAUUAAAAAGGGGGGCUUAAGAUGUUGCUGCUCGUAUUUUUAUUAGUCUAGAUGUUGUGUGGUUUUUAAGUGCUUCUGUAUAGUAUAAGCAAUCGUGGGAAGGUGGCAUACUUUAAAUGGUAGAAUAUGUAUUAAGUCGACACCAAUAACAGUUUGUUGACAACAGCUACAGCAUUUUGAGCUUGGGACGACAGCUGUUUAAUGUGGUCCGUCUCUUUUAAGCACCAACAAAAGGUGCUUUGGAUAGCUCCAUUGGUUAGAGCUUUAUACGGAUAACACCCAGGUUGCAGGUUCGAUCCCCGUAUGGAACAGCUGCACAUUCCUGCAUUGCAGGGGGUUGGAGCAGAUGAUCUCUGGGGGUCCCCUCCAACUCCAUGAUUCUGUCAUUAUAACUGUGAUUUAAAUGUGCAGUGUGCAUGCACCUCAUGUGACUUCACUUGCUUAGGUUGGUUCGCUUAUUUUUGCGAGCAAUUAGCUGGACUUUGCAGUGAACACAUUCAAAAUGGAAACCAAGCGCUCUUCCCCGCUGGAGAAUUCCUCUCUAUGAAGUCAGUUCACCAGGGGUUGGCCAGUGUUGUGCCUACCAGAUGUUGUUGGGACCUCAGCAGCAUCCCUGACCAUUGGACAUGCUGACUACAGCUGCGACGGGAGGUUCUAGUCCAGGGGUCAGCAAACUUUUUCAGCAGGGGGCCGGUCCACUGUCCCUCAGACCUUGUGGGGGGCCGGACUAUAUUUUUUUUGGGGGGGGAAUGAACAAAUUCCUAUGCCCCACAAAUAACCCAGAGAUGCAUUUUAAAUAAAAGCACACAUUCUACUCAUGUAAAAACACGCUGAUUCCCCGACCGUCCACAGGCCGGAUUUAGAAGGUGAUUGGACCGGAUCCGGCCCCCAGGCCUUAGUUUGCCUACCCAUGUUCUAGUCCAAGAACAGUCACAGAGCGCCCAGGUCAGUUACCCUUGCCAUAGAUUUUCAGCUGAAUGUCAACAGGUAAUGUUGUUAGCUUUAAUGUAACUUCCACUGUUGGCAAACAUUGAUUUGAAAGGUAUUGAUUAUUUCUCCUUCUCUUCCUCUGCUGAAUCCGAGGUAACUGAACUAUCUUGCGCACUGCAGGCAAAACACAUCCACUCAUUAGCUGGAAAUGCUUAGUUAAAUCAAUUGAAGAGCUCCUAAUUUCAUUGUUUCUGUUUCCAUCCUUAAAUACAUUUGAGUUUCCCCAGCUCUUUAAAGUCAUACCAUUAGUGCAGACAUGUAAAAACAAGUAAGUUUGGUAUCAAUAUGUGCUUGGUGGAGCUCAGUUCCUAAUGCAUUUGAAAUUAUCUGUUUCACACGACAAAGUCCACCAAUGGACCGGUAGUUUGUCUUGUUACAGUUUGUUGCAGAGGUAGAUUUUUAAAAUCAGUAAUGGUACGGAUCCAAGGCAUUAAGCUCUCUCUGUCCAGAUGUUCCAUGGGAUGCCUGUGAGACUUUUUUUGGCAGUCCAGAUGGAGCCCUUGUUUCUUUCCUGUGGCCUUUGAUAUAUCGCCCUACUCUCGGUUCCUCCAGGUGCUCCCGUGUCAGAUUACUGCUUCUGGUUCAGGGGCUGCAAGCGCAAUGGCCCUUGGUUUCCACCUUGAAUGUGUUCACAGGAAAGUCCACUUAAUUCCUGAAGUGUUGAGAGGAAGGCUGGAAGCAGGACCUGAACACACCAGCACUCUCCUCACUUACAAUUCCUAUGAAAGACAACUGUUUAGGGAAGUUUUUAAUGUCUGAUGCUGUAUUGUUUUUAAUAUUCAGUUGGAAGCUGCCCAGAGUGGCUGGGGAAACCCAGCCAGAUGGGCGGGGUAUAAAUAAAUUAUUAUUAUUAUUAUUAUUAUUAUUAUUAUUAUUAAUACCACGGCCUAGGACCCCUGUACCUACGGGACCGCCUCUCCUGGUAUGCCCCACGGAGGACCUUAAGGUCCAUAUAUAGCAACACCCUAGUGGUCCCGGGCCCUAAGGAAGUUAGAUUAGCCUCAACCAGAGCCAGGGCCUUUUCAACACUGGCUCCGGCCUGGUGGAAUGCUCUGCCUCGUGAGACCAGGGCCCUGCAGGAUCUGAUUUCUUUCCGCAGGGCCUGUAAGCCAGAGUUGUUCCGCCUGGCCUUUGGCUUGGAGCCAAUUUGAUUCCCUCCCCCUCUUUCUUUUUCCUUUCUCCUCCUGUGAUGAGACUGCAUUUUAAUAUUUUAAUGUUUCAAUAUUUUAAUGUUGUAUUUUAAUGUUGUAUUUAAGUUGUAUUCAUUCAACUUGUUUUUAUUAUUGCUUGUUAGCUACCCUGAGCCCGGCCUUGGCUGGGGAGGGUGGGGUAUAAAUAAAAAUUAUUAUUAUUAUUAUUAUUAUUAUUAUGCAGUUGGUAGAGCAGGGGACUCUCCUUUGCAGGGUCGUGGGUUCAAGCCCCCAUGUUGGGCAGGGGGUUCGACUAGAUGACCCUCGUGGUCUCUUCCAUCUCUACAGCUCUACGAUUCUGUGAUUCAGAGGGGGAACAUAGACUUUGUGCCUGGUAACGGCUGAUAGACUUAUCUUCCAUGAAUUUAUCUAACCCUCUUUUGAAGCACUCCAAGUUGGUUGGGAGCAGACUCUAUGUGUUGUGUGGAAAAGAAGAAGAAGAAGAAGAAGAAGAAGAAGAAGAAGAGUUUGGAUUUGAUAUCCUGCUUUAUCACUACCCUAAGGAGUCUCAAAGCGGCUAACAUUCUCCUUUCCCUUCCUCCCUCACAACAAACACUCUGUGAGGUGAGUGGGGCUGAGAGACUUCAAAGAAGUGUGACUGGCCCAAGGUCACCCAGCAGCUGCAUGUGGAGGAGUGGGGAAUCAAACCCGGUUCACCAGAUUACGAGUCCACCGCUCUUAACCACUACACCACACUGGCUCCCACUGGAAGUACAGAAAAGUACUUCCCUUUGCCUGUCCUGAAACUUCCCACAUUUGGUGGAGUGCCAGCCCCACUCCCAAUGUCCAUGUGUUUCCUGCUGCACCCCUAACUGUUGGUCUUGGGCCAAACACACAUCCAAACUCCCUUCAGACUUUCCACCUCAACGUGGGAAGAUCAAGGGUAGAGCAGGCAGGGACAAGGAAACUGGAGGCAGACCCAGGUGUUCUUUGCAGGACGCCCGUUGCAAGAACCAGUGUGGGGAGGUGGGACAACACAAUCUUAUAGGCAAUAUACCUUUUACCUUAGGAUCUUAUGUAUGCCCGCUCGGAAAUUAGUCCCAUUUUCAAUGAGACUUGAUUCCAGACAAAGGUCUAUAGGAUUACAACCUGAGAGGCUCGCAAAAGAGAUAUUGCAAAAAUGAUACCACCUGAAUUGGAAUGAUACUUGUGAAUAAUAGAUAACUGAAAUAAACAUUAUAGUGGAAUGUAAGAAAAAGGAUAUAAAACAAAACUGCACAAUGAUACCAUGACAACAGAAAAAGUAUAACAAGAAAGAUUGGAAGUUUUUUGCAAUUUUUUUUUAUUUGAUAGAUAUAAUGUCGUAUAAAUCUCCCCCCCUUUUUUUCAUUAUUUUCUUGUUUCUGCUUCAAAUUUUUCUUUUUCAUUUUUCUUUUCUUUUUUUUCCUUUUUGAAUUUAACUCGGUAAUACUUACCUUCGUUGUAUGCUUGUAUGUUUGUAUGUUUGUAUUUUAAACCAAUAAAGAUUUAUGUAUUUAUUUAUUUAUUUAUUUUUAAAAAACAACCUGAGAGACUUGGGGCACGUUACCAGCUUUCAGCCUAACUUACAGUGGUACCUCGGGUUACAUAUGCUUCAGGUUACAUACGCUUCAGGUUACACACUCCACUAACCCAGAAAUAGUGCUUCAGGUUAAGAACUUUGCUUCAGGAUAAGAACAGAAAAUCGUGCUCUGGCGGCACAGCAGCAGCGGGAGGCCCCAUUAGCUAAAGUGGUGCUUCAGGUUAAGAACAGUUUCAGAUUAAGAACGGACCUCCGGAACGAAUUAAGUACUUAACCUGAGGUACCACUGUACUUCAAAGACGUGAGUUGAGUUUAAGGCAAGAACCGCAUAGUGCAGGAAGGACCAAACCGUCUGAUAAACAAAAAUGUAACGAGAAAGGUACAAAAGUGAAAUGCCAGCUGCUAUCCACCCUCCAUCAAAAUAGCCCAGGUCCCCUGCUUUGUGCCCUUGUCGCAAGUGGGUUGCCAAUGCAGGUACAGUGCUGCUGCUCUGCAGACCUAAUGGGUUCCUUCAUUAACAUUCUGCUCAUAGACUUGGCUGGGUUAGUGUCAAACGUUCUUGCAUUACGAUUUCUACAGAUCUUGCCCUUUAUCACCAGCAGUCAUGGACUCUACCUUCGAAUGGAUUCCCAGCAGUAGCAGCCAGGAGACUGAGCUGCGGUUGCCAGGAGGAACCCGGUGAAAUGAGCCGGAGCAGAGCUGGGGCCCCUCCUUCAGUGGUGCUGGGGUGGCAGGAUUUGUGCCAGGGUGUUAGCCAUCCCCUGCAGUUUUGUAAUAAAAACAGGCGGCAGGCGGCAGUUUCAAUAUUAGCAGACCUAUGUGACUCUCAGACCUUGGCUGCAAAUGCGAGCCAAGGAAUGCCAUCAGGGAAUGUCAGGCUUCCUCAACCUCAGCCCUCCAGAUGUUUUUGGCCUACAACUCCCAUGAUCCCUAGCUAGCAGGACCAGUGGUCAGGGAUGAUGGGAAUUGUAGUCUCAAAACAUCUGGAGGGCUGAGGUUGAAGAAGCCUGAGUAAUGUGAUAGUGUUAAAGGAUUGGGGUUUAUCAUAUGUGGUGGGAUUGUAAGGUAAUUAAUUUUUUUUGGGAAAUGAUAUACAACGAAUUGAAGAAAAUGUUCCAUUUAACAUUUGUUAAAAAACCUGAAGCAUUUUUUUAGGGAUUGUAGGGAAAGAUCUGCCAAAAAAGCUGAAAAACAUCUUCAUGUAUGCGACAACGGCCGCAAGAGUUUUAAUAGCACAAGGAUGGAAGACUGAAGAAACCCCAACUAAAGAAUCAUGGCAAGAAAAAUUGAUGGACUAUGCAGAACUAGCAAAACUGACAUACAAGCUACGGGACAGGGAUAACUGUGACUUUAAAGAUGAAUGGGAACCCUUAACAAAGUAUUUGAAGACGCAACAAAGCGAACUGGACUCCUUGGCUGGUUUUGAAUAAACAUUCACAAACCUUUUAUUGAUAAUAAUCAGCUAAAUAGUUUGAGGAUCUAUACAACUGUAUAACAUGCAGAAAACAGUAUUUUUAGAGAAAUCAAAAACUGGAACUGAGGGAAGUUGGGGGGUGGGUUCUGUGGGGGGAGGGAGGAAAAAUGGGGGGAAAUAAGCAUGAUAUGUUUCUGGAUAAUAUGUUUUGUUUUAAUUUUGAAUAAAAAAGUUAUUUAAAAAAAAGGAUUGGGGUGGGGUGGUUUAGAUGAUGCCUUUGAAUCCCAACUAACCUGGGACUUAGCAUGGAACAAGGUGGAAGUUUGCUGUAGAAGGAACUGCUGAACUGGUCAAACCAAUUUCUCUUUCAGGUUUGUGACCUUGUCAAACAUCUUCAUGAGCCAGUGUGGUGUAGUGGUUAAGAGCAGUAGUCUCGUAAUCUGGGGAACCGGGUUCGCGUCUCUGCUCCUCCACAUGCAGCUGCUGGGUGACCUUGGGCUAGUCACACUUCUCUGAAGUCUCUCAGCCCCACUCACCUCACAGAGUGUUUGUUGGGUGGGAGUAAGGGAAAGGAGAAUGUUGGCUGCUUUGAGACUCCUUAGGGUAGUAAUAAAGCAGGAUAUCAAAUACAAACUCUUCUUCUUCGUCAUCUGAACGACUGAAGAAACCAGUGGAGAACAAGGAAGUUGCUAUAGAGCAGGACAGUCCAACACGUCACCUGAGCUCCGUCACUGUGUGUGUUGAUCUCAUGACCCUUUCCUGAUCUGGCAAAGUCUAGCUAUUUGGCACUCCAGCUACCACCAGCCUCAACCAGCAUGGUUAACAGCCAACAGCCUGGAGUGAUGGGGGUUGUUUUAAAGAAAGAGAGAGCAGCAAUUUGAGGAAGGCUGACCGAGAUGCUAUUUUCAGUUUAAAAACCAUGAUUGGAAAAAGUAUGCAGAAAUAAUAGUUUGUAGCUCAGAUGGCACACAAAUGUGUUUCCAAUGAUACUGAAAAAUAGUUCCCAGAGAUUUCCUGUGAGUAGAAAAUCAGGAAUGAACUUUUUUGGACUGUACCAAUUUCUGUGGAAGAGAAAGCAUGAUUAUAAGGUGCUUUUUCACAUAUGAGGCCUAAAUCCUCCCCACCCCCAUUUUCUUUGUAAUGUGAAUGUAAUAAUGCCUACGGUGGCUAGAAUAAACUUUUGGUUUUAAAUUGGCUGGGUUUUGCUUUCUUUCCUGUGUUGACAACACUCACAUGUGCCCAAAUAGCAGGGAAAGUGAUUCAAAAGCUCUUUUAAGUGUCAUGUGUGAAAACUCUUGAAGUCUGGCCAUUAGAGGGAAUCACGCAACAGACUUUCUAAGAAGCAGAUGCUUCAAUGUUCUCAGAGAAAAGUGUCAUCUUUCUCCAGCUAUGACAUCGUUUAACAAAUUUAUUUGGGCCAGCAGCCUUUUCUGCUUCUGAGACACCUGAGAUAUUGCAGCAAUUGAAUAGUUCGUUUGGAACUAAAAAGCCGGUGAUUGCUUUUUGUACAUAUUUAUUAUCAAUAAACAAGCUUGGUAUGCAGACUUUAAGAAAUGAUUGGAGCCAAGCACUGGAACUUUAAAUAUUACCCAUAGCGGGAAAAUACAUUGGUACCAAAGGUAUCGAUGGAUCUUAAAUUAAGACAACAGAAAAUAAUAUUCAGAAUUUAUUGGACUCCUUUAGAUUUCUAUAAAAACGGACUAGCUAAAGCAGCUCUUUGCUGGAGAUGUAAUCAGGACAAUGCCUCUUUGAAACACACCUUUUUACAGUGCAUUACUUAUUGGGAGAAAGUGCUGGACUGUGUAAAUAUGAAUGUAUGGAAAAAGUUAAAACUUACAGAGGAGAAUAUUCUUCUGAAUUAUAUACUUAUUAUAUGGAAGUUGACAAUAUGCACCCUAAUGAUUGCUAGGAGACUGAUCCUGAUGAACUGGAAGAAAGAAAAAAAAGAUCCAAUUCCAUUUAAUCAAAAGAUUGACAACACAAUAACACUUGCAACGUAUGGAUGGAUGACCAACAGAUGUAGACUUUGUUUGGAUAAAUAUAUUGAUAUUUGGAACGCAGUAGGUUAUUAUUAACCAGAUAUUAUCCCUUUUAUCUCUAUAAUAAUCUAUAGCAAUGAAAUUACUUAAUGAGGGUGAAAGAGGAGAGCGCAAAAUAUGGUCUGAAACUCAACAUCAAAAAAACAAAGAUCAUGGCCACUGGGCCCAUCACCUCCUGGCAAAUAGAAGGGGAAGAAAUGGAGGCAGUGAGAGAUUUUACUUUCUUGGGCUCCAUGAUCACUGCAGAUGGUGACAGCAGUCACGAAAUUAAAAGACGCCUGCUUCUUGGGAGAAAAGCAAUGACAAACCUAGACAGCAUCUUAAAAAGCAGAGACAUCACCUUGCCAACAAAGGUCCAUAUAGUUAAAGCUAUGGUUUUCCCAGUAGUGAUGUAUGAAAGUGAGAGCUGGACCAUAAAGAAGGCUGAUCGCCGAAGAAUUGAUGCUUUUGAAUUCUGGUGCUGGAGGAGACUCUUGAGAGUCCCAUGGACUGCAAGAAGAUCAAACCUAUCCAUUCUGGAGGAAAUCAGCCCUGAGUGCUCACUGGAAGGACAGAUCCUGAAGCUGAGACUCCAAGACUUUGGCCACCUCAUGAGAAGAGAAGACUCCCUGGAAAAGACCCUGAUGUUGGGAAAGAUGGAGGGCACAAGGAGAAGGGGACGACAGAGGAUGAGAUGGUUGGACUGUGUUCUUGAAGCUAUCAGCAUGAAUUUGCGGAAGGCAGUGGAAGACAGAAGUGCCUGGCGUGCUCUGGUCCAUGGGGUCACAAAGAAUCAGACACGACUAAACGACUGAACAACAACAAUGUAUUACAUUGUAUUUUUGCACCUUUUCUCCCUUCUUUCUCUUUUCCUUUCUCCACUUUUUUCCUUUCUUCCUUUUCUUUAUAAGAAACAUCUUGCAAUAAAAUAUCAAUCUCACAAAGAAGAAGCAGAUAUUUCGAAACUGUAAAACCCACAGAGUUUUCAAAAUGUCUGUUUUCAAGUUUAUCGUUACGCCUGGAAGGGUGCAAAUUUGGUGAGUGCCAGAUCCACACGCAGUCUUUAUUUCAGGGUGAAUGUUCAGUGAAAACUAGCUUUUAAACUCAUCUUUAGUGAUAGAGUCUUCUAUAAAUAGCACAUCCAUUAAUGAGAAAUAUGGGGGGGGGGGGAGCUCUUAAGACUUUUCAUUGCCUUCAGUGGGAACAAAAUAGGUCACAAGGUCUGUGCAUUAACUUACAGAGAAUAGAAUUGUGCCCGCUAGGGUUAGAAGAAAUGUCCCAGAUACUACGCUCAGUGAAAUAAUGUUUGAAAUAUGGGGAUGGUGGGGAUGUCUUUGUCCAUGCUUACAUUUGAGUUUCUCUCUGCCCUAAUGUGUCUUGUACUGUCAGCAAGCCCAUGCUUAAUCUCUAAAAAGGAGGCUGCUGACUGAGGGAUAUCUAAUGCCAUCCUAGACACAUCUACAGUGAAGUACGUGCCAUUGACGUCAUUGGGGCUUGCUCCCAGGUAAGUGAGAAUAGACCUGCAGUAACACUUUCUGGACAUCACCUUUCCAACAAAGGUCCAUAUAGUUAAAGCUAUGGUUUUCCCAGUAGUGAUGUAUGGAAGUGAGAGCUAGACCAUAAAGAAGGCUGAUCGCCAAAGAAUUGAUGCUUUUGAAUUAUGGUGCUGGAGGAGACUCUUGAGAGUCCCAUGGACUGCAAGAAGAUCAAACCUCUCCAUUCUGAAGGAAAUCAGCCCUGAGUGUUCACUGGAAGGACAGAUCCUGAAGCUGAGGCUCCAAUACUUUGGCCACCUCUUGAGAAGCGAAGACUCCCUGGAAAAGACCUUGAUGUUGGGAAAGAUGGAGGGCACAAGGAGAAGGGGACGACAGAGGACGAGAUGGUUGGAUAGUGUUCUCGAAGCUACAAACACGAGUUUGACCAAACUGCGGGAGGCAGUGGAAGACAGGAGUGCCUGGCAUGCUCUGGUCCAUGGGGUCACGAAGAGGCGGACACGACUAAACGACUAAACAACAACAACAACAACAACAACAACACUUUCUGGCCAUGUUCACACCAUACAUUGAAAGCACUCUUCUUCUUCUUCUUCUUCUUCUUCUUCUUCUUCUUCUUCUUCUUCUUCUUCUUCUUCUUCCUUUGCCAAUCCCUCGUAGCCGAGUAAGAUUGUCUUCCAUAAAUGUGGUUUUAACAAUGAGUCCAUAAGUGACUGUGGAGGCCAAUUUGGGAUCCACACGUCCUUCCACAGUGGGGACAUUGGUUUCCGGGCAGGAGUUGAUCCCGGUGAGGGUUUGCCAAGUGUGCCUUCCUCUUAGCACGUUUCUCCCUUGCGUCCUGAGUUCGAGUGUCUUCAAAGCCCAUGACACCUUUGGUAAAGGCUGUUCUCCAACUGGAACGCUCGCAGGCAUUUCCCAGUUGUCAGUGUUUAUACUACAUUUUUUAGAUUUGCCUUGAGAGAGUCUUUAAACCUCUUUUGUUGACCACCAACACUACGCUUUCCAUUUCUAAGUUUGGAAUAGAGUAGUUGCUUUGGAAGACAAUCAACAGGCAUCCGCACAACAUGACCAGUCCAACGAAGUUGAUGUUGAAGAAUUGUUGCUUCAACGUGGGUGAUCUUUGCUUCUUCCAGGACACUUUGAUGCCACAGACAUGGCUUCCCCCAAAGAAUUAUGGGAGCUGUAGCUUGUUCUCGGCAGUGGUAGCUCUGAGAUGUUCUUUUGCUAUUCUUUUUAAAAGAUAUAUAUUUGAUUUGAUUUUACAAAUUAUUAUUUCCAUUCAAAAUCAAAAAUAAAAAAUACACAAAGAUUCGCCAGAAUCUUUGAGCAUCCCUCCACGCCUCCAUGGGUUCCAUUGCCAGUCCUUUUCUGCUGCAUUUUUAAAGUCUCUUCAGUUUUUCCUUUUCUAAAGUCUCCAUAAUCCUUGUUACAUUACAAGUGUUAUUACAGUCCUGAUAACGAGUUCAAUUGUUUACAGUGGUUUCCCAGAUACACUAUAAAUUUCUCCCGUUCUUUAUUGAAAUUUUGAUCUUCCUGGUUUCUUAUAUUCCUGGUUUAUACAGCAAAGCAUCAUGCACCACAACACAUCUUUCAUGGGUGCUGAUGUUUGUCUACACAUGGAGGCACAGGCAGAAUCAGUGGCGUUGAGGGAACAACCAGCAGAAGCAACAACAUCACCUGCAAUAAAUAUUUUAAUGGACUUACUACAAUGUUGGUGAAUUGGGAUCAGGGAUCAUUAUAUAUAUAGGCUUCAUCCUAUGCAUAAGGAAAUACAUGUUUUCCAUCUCCUGCUCCCCCUGAAGCUGCACACAACCCCUAAUUUUGGGUGGUUCCUCCUUCUCCAGCAGCUGCCCCCUCAUUUUCCACCCCACAUGAAUAGAAGCUCAGAAUAAUCCAGAUAAUCUGACCGAUAUGGGUCUUUAAAAUUAUGCAGUUUUAUUUCAGCACUGUCAGGUCAGUAGCAAACACACCAUUCUCUCUCUCUCUCUCUCUCUCUCUCUCUCUCUCUGUGUGUGUGUGUGUGUGUGUGUGUUGAGUUUGUCAAAACUUUCUCAAGGCACCCUAGUCUCGGCAGACGGAACAAUGUACAAUGAAAAAGACACACCGACUAAUCUUCCCAAGCAGUUUCCAUUGUUUGAGGCCAAUGAAUCAAGUCAAAGACUGACAAGGAAAUUCUUCAGUGAUGGAGUCAGGAUUCCUCACUCAUUGUGUCGCAUUACUGUAUUCUGGCAUCUGUAACGGGGAAUUACUUUAAAAUGGGAAUGUCAGCAAUUAUCAUGCCUGGCCAGGUGCAUAAGGCUUUUCUGAAAGGAAAUCAAAGAUGCUCUGAACUAGAAAUGUGUAUGGCAAACAUGCAGUGGAAUUCCAAACUUUCCGUUAAAAGACGGGGCUCUGUUAAAUGGUCUCUGCUGCUGUUUCUAAAUAAUAAUGACACCACAAGGGUGUGUGUUUGUGUGUAGUGGGGAUCUUGAGAUUGGAACCAAGGCAGCUUGCAUCUGCAUGCAUCUGAAUUAAAUUAGUUAAAAUCGAAACCCCAUUGGGGAAGCAAUGGGGCAGCAGAUCUAAUAUUUAUUUACUGUAUUUUUCGCUCUAUAAGACGCACCAGACCAUAAGACGCACCUAGUUUUUGGAGGAGGAAAACAAGAAAAAAAAUAUUCUGAAUCUCAGAAGCCAGAACAACAAGAGGGAUCACUGCGUAGUGAAAGCAGUGAUCCCUCUUGCUGUUCUGGCUUCUGGGAUAGCUGUGCAGCCUGCAUUCACUCCAUAAGACUCACACACAUUUCCCCUUACUUUUUAGGAGGGAAAAAGUGAGUAUUAUAGAGCAAAAUAUACGGUACUUAUUUAUUCAUUCAUACAUGCAUACAUACAUACAUACAUACAUACCCCGCCCAUCUGGCUGGGUUUCCCCAGCCACUCUGGGCAGCUUCCAGCAAAAUAUUAAAAUACAAUAAUUCAUCAAAUAUUAAAAGCUUCCCUAAACAGGGCUGCCUUUAGAUGUCUUCUAAAAGUCAGAUAGUUUUUUAUCUCCUUGAACUCUGGUGGGAGGGCGUUCCUCAGGGUGGGUGCCACCACCAAGAAGGCCCUCUGCCUGGUUACCUGUAACUUCGCUUCUUGCAAUGAGGGAACUGUGAGAAGGCCCUCAGAGCUGAACCUCAGUGUCUGGGCAGAACAAUGGGGGUGGAGAUGCUCCUUCAGGUAUACUGGGCUGAGGACGUUUAGGGCUUUAGAGGUCAGCACCAACACUUUGAAUUGUGCCCGGAAACGUACUGGGAGCCAGUGUAGGUCUUUCAGGACCUAACACCACUCCCUCCAGAUUGGCACAUCAGAGGGGCCCAAGGAUCCAGAGUCUCCUUGGGGGAGUCCCAGGGCACUGGAUCCAGUGUUCCCAAAGCAGUCCGUGUUCCCAUCCUGCCCUAACAAGCCCUCCUUCAGGGCUUUUCUGCAGGCUACCACCAGUGGCACCUUCCCAACUAGGGUUGCCCCCAUCCCUAGAAAAAUGUGAUUGUCCUCUUUUUGGGUGGAGAAAAGUGUCCUCUGUCCUGCAGGAAUCUUUUGACCAAUGUGGGGCUUAAACCCACGAUCCUGAAAUUGAGAGUCUCGUGCUCUCACUCUCAGGGCUGUCCCAAAAGGAUGUGAGCCCUGUUCAAUUCUCAGACAAAUAUUUCCACUGAUGCACUGAAUAAACAAUGCUCCAUGAAUGUACCGUGUUCCAUUCAUGAAUGCCCAGAAUUCCACUAAUAUGGAAAGUGGUACUUAAGAUGACUUAGAUAACUAGAUUAGUUAUCUAACUGUAAAUACAGGACGAUGUCUUUUAAAAACUGAAAUAAAACCAGCAUAUUCCUGUGCAAGCAUGAUCUUAAUGAAUCCCUUUGUUCCACGCCUCUUCCCCUCCUAAAUCAGGAAAUAUUUGACUUCAGUGUUUUAUUUUGCUUUUAAAUCAUUUUUUGUUUCAUAGGUUAUUUAUUUAAAAGCAUAGAUCAGGCACAGGCAAACUCGGCCCUCCAGAUGUUUUGGGACUACAGUUCCCAUCAUCCCUGACCACUGGUCCUGUUAGAGAGGGAUCAUGGGAGUUGUAGUCCCAAAACAUCUGGAGGGCUGAGUUUGCCUAUGCCUGGCAUAGAUCUCACCUUUCUCUAUAAAAUAAACUCAAAGCAGCUCACAAAGGCCUCACAAACCAAACAAAGCACAAUUAAAUGGUUUAAGUUACAAUGCAAAACAGUUCAAAUUACUAAAAUCAAUUUCAUAUGUUAAAAACCAAGCGCAGAAUAAAGCAAAUCGGUGUGGAAAUGAGGGGACAAGACUUGAGCAAACAUAGCUAAAAAGCUCCCCGGAAGCUUCAAAGAGAAGGUUAAGGACACGUUGAUUCUGCAAAAGAUUUUAAUUGCUGAUAUGCAAGAAAUCCUAAUCAAAAGAGGUUUUGAAUGGACCACCUGUGGGCUCAGUCACGUUUUCUCUGGGGGUUAGGGUUAGGGUUAGGGCCAGGCCAGGAAACACAGCAGAAAUACUGAACUAAAUGUAUGCACACCAGUUUUGGAAGGGCAUAAACAACAUCUGGUUUUCUUGGCUUUUGUUGCAUGAAUUUCCCAAUUAGCUGCUUUUCCAGCACUUGGUUUGCUUUUUAAGGGAGACUGGAAGCUGUAAGCGUCAUCAGUGCCAUCAGUCUAAGGGGGGGGGCAGCUUUGGGGAGCACAACCCAUGGCUCAGAGAGAGACAUAUGAUUGGUGCCUUGGGAGACAGAGAGAGGAGCAGGAGUCUCAUCAGCCAACCCUUUUUUUCAAGGGUAUCAUCAUGUCGUCUGUCUCUAGUGUAGGGACAGCUACUCUCUGCACAUCUCUCCCAUUGUAUAUCCAGCAGGUGCCUUCUCUCCUGGUUUUUUGGCACCUGCUAAACAAGCCUUCCAAAAUCAUCGGUUAGUAUCUACAUAGCUCGAUCCUUAUUUCAGACAUCGUGAUAUAUCAGUAUAUCGCGAUAUUUAGCGCACGAUAUAUCACAAUGCUGAAAACCAGUUCUUGCCCAGCCCUCGUGUGGAGAGUUGGCAGUUUCCCAAUCCCCGAGUUGUUGUUGUUUAGUCGUUUAGUCAUGUCCGACUCUUCGUGACCCCAUGGACCAGAGCACGCCAGGCACUCCUGUCUUCCACUGCGACCCGCAGUUUGGUCAAACUCAUGCUGGUAGCUUCGAGAACACUAUCCAACCAUCUCAUCCUCUGUUGUCCCCUUCUCCUUGUGCCCUCCAUCUUUCCCAACAUCAGGGUCUUUUCCAGGGAGUCUUCUCUUCUUAUGAGGUGGCCAAAUUAUUGGAGUCUCAGCUUCAGGAUCUGUCCUUCCAGUGAGCACUCAGGACUGAUUUCCUUCAGAAUGGAGAGGUUUGAUCUUCUUGCAGUCCAUGGGACUCUCAAGAGUCUUCUCCAGCACCAUAAUUCAAAAGCAUCAAUUCUUCCGCGAUCAGCCUUCUUUAUGGUCCAGCUCUCACUUCCAUACAUCACUACUGGGAAAACCAUAGCUUUAACUAUACGGACCUUUGUUGGCAAGGUGAUGGUCUGUAUAGUUAAAGCUAUGGUUUUCCCAGUAGUGAUGUAUGUAAGAGAGAGCUGGACCAUAAAGAAGGCUGAUUGCUGAACAAUUGAUGCUUUAUCCUUGCCAAGAAAACUCCAUGGACAAAUCCCCAAGUUAAUAUUCCUAAAACCUGUGAGCUUCCCACCAGCCAGGUGCGUUGGGGAAAACCCCAUUACAGGUGAGAUCCCUGAGUGGCAGGUCACUGCUUUGCAGGACUGUUGUGCGCCAUGGGCUCUGUGAUGCUGGCACAGAUCAAGAUUCUUCAGCACAGUUUUUCAGUGUAUCAAGUAUCUCUCACAGCAACAGUAAAAUCACACGUUGCAACUCACCCUUUGAGAUACACCUGAUGGUGGAUCUCCUGAGACAGAACAGACGGUUGUUGGGUUGUUCCCAUUUAUUUCUUGCAUGUCUAAAUCUCUCCGUGUCUAAAUCUGUGAGUGACAAUGCCGUCUCCACUCUUAAUAUCGAGAGACAGCAACACAGUCAAGGUUGUCAUCACUGAAAUUAAUUGUUGUUUCAAUUAAUUGUUCCAAUUAGUCUCUCUCUCUCUUCAGUUAUGCUUUUCUAGAACAAUCACACCUGAGAUGCUAAGGGAAAUUGGAAGUACUCUGUGGGUCACAUACUCUGCAAUUAAAACUCUUACCAUCUAUAAUGAGUUUCCUGCCAUGUUUUCCCUGUUGUUUUUGGUGUUCCCCAAAAUUUCUAGAAUGCUCACACUCAUUCUUACUGUGAGUCCCUUCAACAGUAGUCUUGCAUACCCUCCAACAUUUCUCCAGUGAAAACAGAGAGGUCCUAUUCAACAACAACAAGAAUAAGAACUAUUAUUAUUAUUUUAUUUAUAUCCCACCCAUCUGACUGGGUUGCCCCAGGCACUUUGGGCAGCUUCCAACAUACAUAAAAGCAUUAAAAAAAACAUUCCCUGUAUAGGACUGCUUUCAGAUGUCUUCUAAAGGUUGUAUAGAUACUUAUCUCCUUGGCUUGGUCAUCACAUAACUCCAUACCCUCCAAGAUUUCUCCGAUGAAAAUAGGGAUGGCCUAAGGAAAAGUGGGACAGGAACAAAUCAGAAACUGAGACAGCUUCUGUAAAUCUUGGACUAUCCUUGGAAAAUAGAGACACUGCAAGGUCUGGUCUUGGCUGAUCAGUACUGGUGUAAUUUUCAGAGGUGCUUAGGUGAGGUUGUCUCAUCCCAGGAGAACUUCUCAUUCAGGGCUUCACACAGUUUCCUCAGGGUUCAGAUAUUUCUCCCAUCCUUUGAUAUCUGCCCUGCUGACUCAUAUCUUCCCAGCUUUCGUAGGCAAGUUCCACAGUCUGAAGGCCAGACUUCCUGAGACUGAGUCAUGGGGAGUUUGUUCAGUAGCAUGCAGUUUGACCCCCAACUUCUUCUUCUUUGUCUGGCAAAGUGCAGAAGUGAAAGAAAAAAGAAGAAAAGUCCCGGUGAAGUAAUGCAGAGGAUCUGCCACAUCAAAAUGAGAAGAUCCAGUACAAUAUUUCAAACUGCUGAAAAAGUGUCUCCUAAGAUUAGGAUUUGACAUUGACCAGUUGUUGUUCUACUACAACAAGCAACACUUUAAUAGAUUGAUUUGGUAAAUCUGAAACAUCUCUGUUUAAUGCCUAGUUCUCCUUCAUAAGAUGCUCAUAUGAAGGCUCCUAUAAUCUAUAAAUGAACAUAAUCAAGACAAGACAAAUCCGUUUAUUGUGAGGACCAUGCCUGUACACAAACAUUAACACAACAAUAGUUAAAAGAUAUUAAAAUUCAUUACAUACUACGCCAACAAAACCUUCAUCCCACAAAAUAGAAAGAGAGGGAAAACGAGCAACGAGUUAAACAGACGAUGAAGGGGUCUUUACAUUGUCAUCCAUAAGUCUUUCCCUGGCUUUCAUGGCCUUUAUCACAAAAACCGCUACCACAUGGGUAAUACGUGGGUUUGCAUCAACUAACAAAAAUUUUACUCUAUCUUCAGGAUUGGUUAUAGAGUUGGGUAUAAUUUGCAGCAAUGCGUCUCUAAAGCUCGAGUAGAUGGGGCAAUAGAGGAGGUAAUGUGUAAGAUCCUCUUUAAUUUUCAUAAGGCAAGGGCAUAAACGAUGUUCUACUGGGGUUUUUGUGAAUCUACCGGUCAGAUAUGCAGUUGGCAGUGUUUGAAACCGUGCCAUAGUGAAAGCUCUCCGAAGGGUGGGGUCAGUGAUCUCCACCAAGUAGUUGGCACAGAUUUUGACUGCUUUUACUCGGGAAACCAGUAGGAAAACCCAGAGUUUUUAUCUUUGUGGAGUCCCAACAGGCGUCUUUUUCAAAGAUCCAUUCCCGAACUUUAUCAGGGCUCCACAAUUUAAGGGUAUUAAACUCAGGUAGAUUGUAUCUGGAUAGGAUAUCUAGUAGGUUUUUAUGCCAAGUAGUAUUAUUUUGUAAUAAUACAAAGGCUUGUUUAGCCAAUAAGGUGUUCGGGGCAUCUGUGAGGUUGGUGAUAAAGCAGGAAUCUUAAGUGGGCCCUGGCAGACACAGAAGGUAAUCCUACUUCCACUCUUAGGAGAGCUGCCGGAGUACUCUGAGGGAGGCCUAGAAUUCUUCUGAGGUAAAAAUUUUGGAAGAUUUCAAGCCGUUCUAACAGCUUCUGAUUCCAUCCCCAGAGUUCUACUCCAUAUAGCAUCUGGGGAAUCACUUUUCCAACAAAAGCUUUUAAUGCCGGGAUCACCAGUUGCCCUCCCUCGAAUAAAAUAGCUGAGCAGGGCACCGAUUGUCCUACGUGUUAGAAGGGCUACAGUCUUGAAGUGGGCAAGCCAGCUAGAUGUAGCUUGGAAAGUGAUACCAAGAUAUUUAAAAAAAAGACACUGUUCAAUUUUGUGUUCAUCUAAAGACCAUCUAAAUGUGUGGCGAGCUCUAGUAAAUACCACAAUUUUUGUUUUGUCAUAAUUUAUCUUUAGAGAGUUUUGGGAACAAUAAGCUGCGAGCCCCUCCAGCAUGCUAUGUAGGCCCCUUCGAGUAAGUGCCAUGACAGCCAUGUCAUCAGCAUAUAGUAAUAUAUUCAGGUGUUUGCCUUCCAGGGCAGGAGCUGAUGACUUAUACUUUGCCAUAUGUUGAACAAUGUCAUUUAUAUAGAAAUUAAAGAGGAACGGCGCUAACAAACAGCCCUGUUUAACCCCUUUCCCCAGUGGCAGUGGAUCAGUAUAGUUGCCUGACAUCCCAGUUCUGAUUUUAACUGUGGUGUCUGAAUGUAACUCUCUAAGUAUUUUGAGAAGUCGUCUAUCAAUAUCUGUUUCAUAUAAUUUUUGCCAUAAUUUGUCCCUACAGAUUGAAUCAAAAGCGGAUGUGAGAUCUACGAAAGCCACAAAAAGUUUGCUCUUAUGUACCUUUGUAUACUUAUCUAUCAUUGUCUGUAGUACCAAACAAUGGCCUGUUGUACUAUGGCCCUUUCUAAACCCUGCCUGUUCCGGAUUAAGCAGGUUAGAGUGGUCAGCCCAGUCAACCAGUUUAUUUAGCAGGUAGCGAGUGUAAAGUUUGUACACAAUGUCCAGGAGACUUAUGGGGCGAUAGUUUGAGGGGUCUUGGGGGUCUCCCUUCUUAUAGAUGGGGGCUACCAGGCUCAGUUUCCAGUUUUCUGGGAUUUUGCAUAUAUCAUUUAUUACCGUAAAAGUUGGGCCAAAAUAGCAGCCCACCACUGGGCAUUUAGUUUAAAUACCUCAGGAGGAAUCAUAUCCUCACCGGGAGCUUUGCCAUUCUUGAGUGUUUUAAUUAGCUGUAAACAUUCUGAUUCGGUAACAGGAUCCCAGCCCAUUAAUAGAUCGUUUUUAAGAGGAGGAAACUGGCUCGGUUUAGCACUGUUUGGAGCUGUAUAUAGCCGGGAAAAGUGUUGGUACCAUAAGUUAGAUGAGAUACUGUUGGUUACAAUUUUCCCUUUGGGUGAAACUCCCUGGGCAAUUAUUUCCCAGAACUUUUUGUCAUCCCGCAAUUUGAUCGCUUUGUCAAGUGCCUCCCAUUGUUCCUUUCUGUGCAGGUUUUCCAAUGAGGACAAGGUCCCUUCCUGUUUUACCUUAUUUUGUAGUUUCCUGAGCAAAGAUCUUAGAUUCCUACAGUCUUUGUCGAACCAGGCCCUCGAGUUGAUCCGUUGUUUGGGAGGGUUGGAAUUCGUGAGUAGUGGGAAGAGCGACUCUGAGACCUGCUGAAAUGUUAAAAAGGGGUCAGAAAUGGAUGAGAUGCACUGGUCUCUCAAGGCCAGUAUGAACAUAAUCAACUCCAUACAUGUUGACCGCUUUCUUUUUAUAAGAAAGCAAUUUGAUAUAGGAUGCAGCCUGGAGACAAAUGGAAGUUAUUGCCCUCCUAGUAUCUGGAAGAGAAUGGUCUAAGGAAGGCCCCAGGCCACCUUUAGGGAUAUUGAAAGUCAAAUGGCCCUCAGUAGCACUUUGGAGCUGGGUAUAAUUCUGAGGAAAAUGCACUUCAAGCAAUUAUAAGCUCCAGAAGAAUUGUGGGUUUUGCCUGAUGACAAAUCUUAUGUACGGUAACUGCAUGCCAGUGUGUUAAAAACAGCUGUACAUGUGAACAGGGUCAAGGCUCAUCUAUCUUUAUAUAUAUUUUAUAGAGAAACUACCGCUUCUGUUUCUUUUUCAUAAGGGAGGCAAUGAUAAUACAGCUGUCUAAGUUCCUUUGAUUUCCCAUGAGAUCAAGACAAUUUAGUGCUAUUUUUGUCUUUGAAGAAAAUUCAGUUUUUCAUUUACCAGCCUUGUACGUUGGCUCACAAGGUUUCACACCCCACUCACUCAGUUUUUAAAAAGAGAGAUAUAAAAACAUAAAAAGUACUAGCAGGUGUCAAAGGGAAUAAGACAUGUAAUACAUUCAGGUGUGGGCAGAGUUUUGUGCCCAGACCUGAAUGUACUGUAUUUCAGGGUGGUGCUGGGGUCUAAACCACUGAGCCUCUUGGGCUUGCCGAUCGGAAGGUCGGCGGUUCGAAUCCCCAUGAUGGAGUGAGCUCCCAUUGCUCUGUCCCAGCUCCUGCCAACCUAGCAGUUCGAAAGCACACCAGUGCAAGUAGAUAAAUGGGUAUCACUGUGGUGGGAAGGUAAACGGUGUUUCCGUGCACUCUGGUUUCCAUCACAGUGUCCCGUGGUGCCAGAAGCGGUUUAGUCCUGCUGGCCACAUGACCCGGAAAGCUGUCUGUGGACAAAUGCCAGCUCGCUCGUCCUGAAAAUGAGAUGAGCGUCGCAACCCCAUAGUCGCCUUUGACUGGACUUAACUGUCCAGGGGUCUUUGACCUUUAACUUUUUACCUAUGAACCUUCUCAUUGACAGAUCUCUGAUAAAAUUCAAAAAAAUGCCACAGGCCCUGUUUGUUCCUCUCCAUGCAUAUAUGUCGUAUAACUUGCUUCCUGAACUCCAUGUUGUCCUAUUAAAAAAUAGCCUUUUUGACUCCUGAGGUUACUUGACUGUCUCUGGGCAGAGCGGCCUUUGAAAUUGGGUUGGAUCCAAAGGUUCCAUGAAGAGCAGGAAGUCCUUUUGUGAACAGAACUCUCUCUCCAUGAAGGGAAGGAAUUCCCUCUUGUGGAAAACCAUGCUUCCAUUUACUGGAGGAAACCUUUGAGUCAAACCCACCAAGGGAUGGGCAAGCUAAGAUGCUAAAAGUGCAAUCAUACCAUGCCAUCAAUCCAUUUGUGCUCAUGAUAUUAACAGAAAAGGGCAUGUCUGGUUACAGUUCUGCUUGGGGUCAGGAAAGUGGACUGACGGAUAUGCUAACAUGUUAUGGAGUCUAGUAUACAGUUUAGAUUAUUGACGUUAUGCGAUUAUUAUUUAUAAUAUGCUGUGCCUUCUGCUAUUUUCUGCUUGGUUUGCAUUUAAUCUUUUCUGGAUUGGUUGUGUAUCUAUUAGAAGGGAGAGAGAUGCUGUUCCAUUAUAGCCUAUUUGUAUUCCUGUAGCAAAACCAGUGCUAGGGGGAUGUGGCCGAUUUCCCCCAAGAAAUGUUUUCAGGUGAUAACCAAUUCAUUGUCAUAGACCUUGUCUGGAUUCUGGGCAAAAGGGAAUUGAUUUUCACCUUCAGAAAACAAACACGUUGCACAAAAAAUCUAUAAAGACAGCAAAAUGAAUGAAUUGUUCCCCUAAUAAAAUUGGAUUGUUUAAGAAAAGCUUCCAUGUCACAAAAGAUUCAUUCAGCAAACAUGCCACAGAGGACACGGAUGCCUGUUAAUGAAAUGCAUAAACUACUUUCUGAAACAUUUAACAAAGCCUUAAAACAUGCAAUCAAUGUGCCAUAGUGAAGCUCUGUCUAUCUUUCUUACUUAAUGGGGAAGUGGGAUUCACUCAUGCCUUCAGGUGUAACCAAUCAGCCGAAUACAUGAAAUGCAUUUGCUGAUUUCAGCACAGCUUAUUGAUCCCAGCAGUUCCUGCACACAAGACUGUAAAUUUUGUGCAUUUUGAGACCUGCUGGUUCUUCUGCGAUGCAGCUGCUUCAUGCAAUGCAUUGCUGGCAGUCAGCAAAAACAUCUCCUAUAUGCUUAGGUGAAUGCACUGCCCAUAAAAAAAAGUUGCCAGGUCUCAAAAAUUGCUCACAUUUGCAUAACAUAGGUAGGGCAGGAAUGUGUGCUAGAUACAGUGGUACCUCGGGUUACAGACGCUUCAGGUUACAGAUGCUUUAAGUUACAGACUCCUCUAACCCAGAAAUAGUACCUCGGGUUAAGAACUUUGCUUCAGGAUGAGAACAGAAAUUGUGCAGCGGCGGCACAGCAGCAGCGGGAGGCCCCAUUAGCUAAAGUGGUACCUCAGGUUAAGAACAGCAUCAGGUUAAGAACGGACCUCCAGAACAAAUUAAGUUCUUAACCCAAGGUACCACUGUAUUUAUUUCUUCUUUUUUUCAUUUUUUAAAAUUAAUUUUCACAAAAUUAUAAACAAAGCACACAAACAAACAAACAAAAAUCAUAACCUUAUUAAAAUUACACUUAUCAACAUUGUUAAGUGACUUCCUCGCUUCCCCUUGGUUGAAUUUCCAUGCAUAUCCGUAUAACGGCUUUCCAAAUCCUAAUUCUUAUAAACCUAACUUAGUUCAUUAACCUCCUUAUAUCUUUUCAAUUCAAAAUUGUACAUGUUAAACAUCACUUAACUUAUAUAAAUUCCUAAGCCAAUCUGUCACCUGCAAGCUAUUUCCUAUUAGUUUAACUUAACAAAUUUAGCUAAAUAAUUGUUAAAUUUUGUCCAUUCUUCCUCCACUAUAUUCGUUUCUUACUUUGCAAAGUAAUUGAGGGGAGCGGAAUUGCAACACCCAAGUCAUUUAUCCUUGAGAGCUAAACAUUGAAGGUAGCUUGCCUUACAAACGCAUUUGCAUGUCUAGAAGCAGUAUGCAAGUCCAAAACCGGUAAUAUUUGUGGCAGUGGUGAGAGAUAUAAAGUAGGUGGGCAUACAUCUCUUCACCAACACUCUGCAGGGUACGGAACAGAGCGUGGUGAAGGAAUGGGUUUCUGUGCAGUCAGUUUAAAACUGACUCAACCUCCCCUUUUCUUCUUAGCAUUUCUAAAAUGCAUAAACUUGAGUUUUUGAGCCAAAACCCAGCUUUAUAAACAAGUGCUCAGAGCCCUCUCCUUUAUCAGUUUGUGACGGCAAGGAUAGCCUUGACUGUACCAGUAGAACAGAGAAGACACAUCUGUGCCUUAUCUUACGUCCUGACCACAAAGAUGCACAGAACCAGUCUGGGAACAGUGCCAGAGUGUGUUCUCAGAGAUGGUGACCUCUUGCUCCAAGAUAAGAGUAGGAGCAGGAAGAUCCUUUUAUGGUCAGAAGUACAGGAAGGAAUACCCUUUUAUGGUUAAGAAUACCAGAGCAGGAACAUAUGUGAUGUCAACCUGGGUACAUAGGCUGACGUAGUUGGAUUCCUCGGGAAGGAGGGAGAGGGUGCUUGGAGGAUAUAUAUACUGCAUGAAAUUUCUCAUUUCUUUGGACUUGCUGUGGACUGACCACGCAAGUGCCUUCUGCUAUCCAGAGAGCAGAAUAAACUCUUUCUUUGAACCAACCUCGGUGUCAUUUGACUUCCUUCCUCCCGUCCAGGAGCAACGCAGACCCAAUCGGUGAACUCCAAUAAGGCUACAGUGGGUUGGGUAGCAUGUGCCUUGUGAUAGACCCAAACCAUUGCAGCUGGAUUGAGUGAUCCUCCUUGCCUUUCUGUUGACUUACCUGCAAGCAAUAUGACCAUGAAAGGUGGAAGGUGGAUUUCCGGUUCCACCCCUUUCACCAAAUUAAAUGGUAUCCUACACAGGUUUGCACAGUGGCUUCCAUGCAGGGCUUCGACUGAAGGCAAUUGCUGGACCAGAGUGAGCUCUGUCUCAUCUGCCCUAGCCUUUCCCAUCCUGAUGCCCUCAAAAUGUUUCUGCACAAUCUGAGCAACAGGGGCCAUAAAGGAGGAACCAUCCUACCGAGGCAUGAUCUGCAAAGCAACUCGUUAAAAGCGCUUCCAAAAUAAUUCAGUCCUGCAUAUCCCAGCCAUCAUGCAUUUCUGAAACAAUUAUGGAGGUAGACUCUACUCACUGCUGAAACAGUUAUUCUUAAAAGGAUAUGCCCCUUGCUCGGCUCUCGGUGCUGCAGCUGCUAACACGGUGCAUGAAACACCGGCCUGCACAAUUAAUUGUCCAUUUUUGAGGCAGGUUUUUCUCAACAGAGACUCCUAAUUAAACCAGCUAAGUCUGGAGGGAAUGGAGUUGGCACCAUUCCUUAUUAAAGGGAUCAGAAGCUAGAUUAAAAUACAGGUUCGCCAACAUGUAUUAAGAAGUGCUUAAUUUAUGCAUUUUUGGUGGUCCCAUUCAAUGUUCAAUUUUGCAUUCCAGAAGCCGUGAGCAAAAAUAAGAAUAUAAUAAAUGGCUGGACAGCCAUCUGUUGGAGAUGUUCCAGCUCUGGUUUUCCUGCAUUUUCAAGCAGGGGGUUGAACCAAAUGGCCCCAAAUAGCCCUUCAACCCUAUGACUCUAACCACUAGGGAUUCCCUCCCAAUUGGGGAAACCCCAAAAUUCUCUCGCUAGCUGGGAGGUUUUGACUGCAGAGGCAGUGACAAUGGAUUGCACAGCCCUUCAUUAAUCCCCCAGGCACUCUAAUCUUUUCAGGAUCUCCUCUAACAUUGCUUCAUUUGAUAAAAAGGCUGUUUACUUAUUUAAAUAUCUUUAAUUAGUGCUCAUUGUUACUGAGCUAUUGCUGCAGAUUGCAUUAGCAUAACUGGCCAAGAACAGGCAGCUGAAUACAUUUUCUACUCUCCGGUGCUGUGAUGUUCACGUCUCCCAGCGGGGCUGAACAAAAAUAGCUGCCACAAAUGAGGCUGACGAAUAUUGGGUUUUAAUUGAGCUAACCCACUUGUUUCCAUGACCAAUUUUUGACCAGCUGGGUCUCCCGCCUCCCGCCUCCCCACGUUCCAUGUUGCGCUAUCCCAGGUGGAAUUGAGAUUUCAGGAAGAUUGAGAGAGAGGCGAUGUUUGUGCUUAUCGUGUUAAUGCUUAAUUGCUACAUUUGUAAUAAUUAAUGCAUCUGUAUGUAUAUUAGUAAUAUAUCACCACAUUAUAAUGUGGUGAUGCUAUUAAUAUUCAUUAAUAUUUAAAUAUUUAAAUGCAGAAAUAUUUAAAUAAUAUAUUCAGAUGUAUAGCCACAUACAUCUGGAGUUUCCAUUCUGCUUUUCAGGAAAAUACUUGUGCAACCAGGCAAGUUCACAGAUGCAUGUCUUUUAAAAACUGAACUAAAGCAGAUUUUUCAGGGGUAUUUUAAUUCUGCUGGCUCAUGUUGUAAGGUUUUUGAACAGAGACUCAAUGUCCAUCUGCCAGGGAUUCUUUAACUGUGAUUCCAGCAUCGCAGGCGGUUGGACUAGAUGACCCCUGGGGUCCCUUCCAAAUCUACAGUCCUAUGAUUCUAUGAUCACUGAGGGUAAAUGAAGACACCCUGUUGAACUCAUUCUGGAUGAAGGGACAAAAGAGGGAAUGCCCAGACAGGAAGAUUUUCUGACUUGUUAUGCUGUGCAGGCAGUAUCAUUGCCCACCUACAGUGGCAUAGCAUGAGUUGCCAGUGCCCGGGGCAAGCCAAGUAAUGUGCCCCCUCACCUGUGGACCAUUAGCACCCCUGAGUUCCUGAACACCAGUAUUGAACCCACAACACAUGUAUUGUAUCCCCAGGAAACAUAUAUAAUGUAACAAUCAGAACUGCAAAAUUAUAAAACAAUCCCAAUGAAGAAAAUCUAAAACAGCAGGCAACAUGAAACAACGUUAAAAGCACCGCAGGAAUAAUAAUAAUAAUAAUAAUAAUAAUAAUAAUAAUAAUAAUAAUAAAUUUUAUUUAUAUCCCGCCCUCCCCAGCCAAAGCCAGGCUCAGGGCGGCUAACAACAAUCAAAUAAUCAAACAAUCAAAUAAUCCAACAUUCUAAAACAUUUCAUUAUAAAAAUUAAUUAAAAUCAAAUUAAUGGCAACCGUUAAGCAAAGUUCUGUGCAGGUUGCCAGAGGAGGAGUCAGGCUGGGCCCUGACCAAAGGCCUGGUGGAACAACUCUGUCUUGCAGGCCUUGCGGAAAGAUGUCAGGUCCCGCAGGGCCCUAGUCUCUUGUGACAGAGCGUUCCACCAGAUUGGAGCCGCAGCCGAGAAAGCCCUGGCUCUAGUUGAGGCCAGCCUAACCUCUCUGAGGCCUGGGACCUUCAGGAUGUUUUUAUUUGCAGACCGUAGGUUCCUCUGUGGGGCAUACCAGGAGAGGCGGUCCUGUAGGUACGAGGGUCCUAGGCCGUAUAGGGCUUUAAAGGUUAAAACCAGCACCUUAAACCUGAUCCUGUACUCCACCGGGAGCCAGUGCAGUUGGUAAAGCACUGGAUGAAUGUGAUCCCGCGGCGAGAACCCCAUAAGGAGUCUCGCUGCGGCAUUCUGCACCCGCUGGAGUUUCUGGGUCAGUCUCAAGGGCAGCCCCACGUAGAGCGAGUUACAAUAAUCCAGUCUGGAGGUGACCGUCGCGUGGAUCACAGUGGCUAGGUCAGGGCGAGAGAGAUAAGGGGCCAACUGCUUUUCUUGGCGGAGAUGAAAAAAUGCCGCCUUUGUUAUAGCUGUAAUCUGCGCCUCCAUAGAGAGGGAGGUAUCGAAGAUUACACCCAAACUCUUAACGGACGGUGCUGGCACUAAUUGCACCCCCGCAAGAGAUAGGAGUUGCCCCCCCCCAAUCCCAUAUCGUCCCGUCCCAGCCAGAUGACCUCUGUCUUCGAAGGAUUUAACUUCAACCGGCUUCCACGUAACCAUCCAGUCACAGCUUCCAAACAUCUGGUCAGUGUGUCUGGGGACGAGUCAGGAUGGCCAUCCAUCAACAGAUAGAGUUGGGUGUCAUCGGCAUACUGAUGGCAACCCAGCCCAAAACUCCGGACAAGCUGGGCGAGGGGGCGCAUAAAGAUGUUAAAAGCAUCGGGAGAGUAUCGCACCCUGAGGUACUCCACACACCAAGGAGUGGCGCGAUGACAAUUCCCCCCCAAGCGCCACCCUCUGUCCCCGACCAGAGAGAACGAGCGCAGCCAUUGAAGGACUGUGCCCUGGAUCCCCACGUCGGCAAGGCGGUGGUCCAGGAGUUCGUGAUCGACCAUGUCGAAGGCUGCUGACAGGUCUAGAAGAAUCAGCAGCCCCGACCCGCCUCGAUCCAGCUGCCUGCCAUUGAGGCCAUUGAGAUGAAAGAUGCUUUUGAUUCCUCUCUAAAAGAUUUUUACGAGGGAGCCAUCCAAAUGGCAAAACAGAAACUCUUCCAGAAGCUGCAGUGCCACCACUGAGAAGUCCCCGUGUUUCAUGUUCCUUUGUCUCUUUCUGCCCUAUACCUAUGGAAGGCUAGAUCAUCUUACCCAGCAACUGCUUUUGCUUCCUCUUACUCAUGUGCAUCCCAUUUAACUCACAUGGUUGCUAUUGAAUGAAAGGUAAAGGGACCCCUGACCAUUAGGUCCAGUCGUGGACGACUCUGGGAUUGCGGCGCUCAUCUCACUUUAUUGGCUGAGGAAGCCGGCGUACAGCUUCCGGGUCAUGUGGCCAGCAUGACUAAGCCGCUUCUGGCGAACCAGAGCAGCGCACGGAAACGCCGUUUACCUUCCCGCCGGAGCGGUACCUAUUUAUCUACUUGCACUUUGACGUGCUUUCCGACUGUUAGGUUGGCAGGAGCAGGAACCGAACAACGGGAGCUCACUCCGUUGCAGGGAUUCGAACCGCCAACCUUCCAAUCGGUAUGCCCUAGGCUCUGUGGUUAAACUCACAGUGCCACCCAUGUCCCAUUGCUAUUGAUUACUUUUGUUCUAUUGCAGUCAAUUACCGGUUUUUUCGCUCUAUAAGACACACCUAGUUUUGGGAGGAGGAAAACAAGAAAAAAAAUAUUCUGAAUCUCAGAAGCCAGAACAGCAAGAGGGAUCGCUGCGCAGUGAAAGCAGCAAUCCCUCUUGCUGUUCUGGCUUCUGGGAUAGCUGCGCAGCCUGCAUUCGCUCCAUAAGAUGCACACACACAUUUCCCCUUACUUUUUAGGAGGGAAAAAGUGAGUCUUAUAGAGCAAAAAAUACGGUACUUGCAUCAGUGUUUGCCAACCUUGAGCUCUCUUGAAGUUUUGCACUGCAGCCCUCACAGACGGGUCGUUUUGCUUGGUGCCACUGUUUUGUUUCCAUGUGUUUACUGACCUCUGCCCAAUUAGACAGCGCAUCUCUCCCCCACCGCACUGCCCUCCCCAUUUCGUCUUAUUACGCACGUGUUAAUCAAGGCAACAGGGCCUAACAUAAUUUCUGUUAAAUUGGACUGGAUGGGCCCUCACAGAAAACUCUCGUUUAUCACUGGUAAGUUUUAUGGCCCUUCAGCUAGCUUGUAAACCUUUCCGAAGUGCUAAUUUCCAAGCCAAUUUGAAUUAAUUAAUGAGAGAGGAUGCGGGAAAGCUUUGUCGCUUCCAACGUAAGAUCAUCAGAUUGGAAGUUAGAUUUGCGAUGGUUGUUGAAAAUCCAUCUCAGAAACAGCCGGCAGAGGAUGGGGUGGUUAAUUAGCUGCGAUGGCGGCUGAUCUCGAGAGAAUAUUCUUUCAUACCUGACGUGGCAAACUGAAAUGAGAUGCUGAGGAGAAGGAUAAACAAAUUUAGAUGCACAUUAAAGGAGAACUAGGCCAUUUGGCAGGUGGAUCUCAACAACAAAAUAGGUUCUGAGGCUGAAUUCUGGGGAGAGCAGAGAACAGUCGAUGGAGAACUUCAGCAGAUGUUGGAACUUCACAGCGGUCGGUAAAUACUUUUGAAGUUAAAAGAAAUAUAGCAUUCAGCAUGAGAUUGUUGGACUUGGGGUUUAUGAAGACCAAUUUUUGGGAAUGUUGCAUUUUGGCAAUUAAGGUAACCCACUUUUGACCAAGUUGGUAUUUUAAGAACAAGCUGAGUGGUCUACUUUUCAGUCAUGAAGUAGAAGGAAAUACAGUGGUAACUCAGGUUAAGUACUUAAUUCGUUCUGAAGGUCCGUUCUUCACCUGAAACUGUUCUUAACCUGAAGUACCACUUUAGCUAAUGGGGCCUCCCGGUGCUGCCGCGCCGCCAGAGCACAAUUUCUGUUCUCAUCCUGAAGCAAAGUUCUUAACUCGAGGAAAUAUUUCUGGGUUAGCGGAGUCUGUAACCUGAAGCGUAUGUAACCCGAGGUACCACUGGAGUGGCUUGCCUCCAACUCUUUGUGAACUGAGUUCCACUCACAACACAGGACUUCUCUCCUCUCUCUGCACAACUCCAAAUCUACUCUCAACCAGAAGAGUCAACUCCUGGGGGUGGAGGGGUAUUUGCCCCUCAAUAAAAUAUUUGAGCCCACCCCACCCCACCCCCAGUUAAUGGGCAUUGCCAUUCAAAUGGUGUCUGUGUACCACAUCAUGUGAUUGAUUAUGCAGGGAGGGGCUUCGUUGACUUCCCCAAUAUUUUAUUCCAGUUGGCACCCCUGCUCUGAACUAUCCCCCAACCCUCUGGAGCCGAUGGUGAGGAUGUAUGGUGGGGCUAAAGGGGGCAGGAGAGGUAAAAGAAGUUCUGUGGUAUACAUGGACAUCUGCUACACCUGCAAAACGGCAGUGCUGGAUGCAACCCACUGUAUCACGGAAAAGGCAUCAAAUAUGCCUAGUUGUUAACUUUUAUAGAUUGGCUCUGCAUUCACAUGCAGAUUCAAAACAUGGAGAAAGAAGGUGACAGGUUCUAUCAGUUCAAGGCCCUGUUUCAUUUCUCAAGCGAUAAAACUCGCAGCGUCGUAUCUGGGAUCAGUGCUCCUCUUGUAUAGCAAGAAGAUCGCUUGGGUGCAAGUCGUUGGCAUGCAUGGUGCAACUAUUACCGUAUUGGCCCGAAUAUAAGCCGCACCCGCAAAUAAGCUGCACCUUUAAAAUUGAAGGAGGGAAAAGAAAAAAAGACAAUACCCGGGCUGCUUCCGGGGGGGGGGGGCGGAGCUGCGCCCCUUUGCCGGCGGCAUAAGGUCAUGAAUAUAAGACACACUUUAACUUUUCAUGGUCUGAAUUUGGGAGGAAAGUGCAGCUUAUAUUUGGGUCAAUAAGGUAUUAUGGGACCUUAUUUAUACUGCAUUGCCCCAAGAUAGUGAACCUUCUUGCUCCUACCUGAACUGAAGCUAAAGUGUCUAUGUCCACAUUUAUCCUGUUCCCCAUAUUUAUCUUGCCCAUGGAGAGUACCAGUGCUGUAGGGAAGCGGGUAGCACUGUGGUCUAAACCACAGAGCCUCUUGGGCUUGCUGAUCGAAAGAUCGGCAUUUCAAAUUCCCGUGAUGGGGUGAGCUCCCGUUGUUCUGUCCCAGCUCCUGCCAGCCUAGCAGUCUGAAAGCACACCAGUGCAAGUAGAUAAAUAGGUACUGCUGCAACAAGAAGGUAAACGGCGUUUUUGUGCACUCUGGUUUCCGUCAUGGUGUCCCAUUGCGCCAGAAGCGGUUUAGUCUUGCUGGCCACAUGACCCAGAAAGCUAUCUGCAGAAAAACGCUGGCUCCCUCGGCCUGAAAGUGAGAUGAGCGCCACAACCCCAUAGUCACCUUUGGCUGGAUUUAACCACCCAUGAGUCCUUUACGUUACCUUUACCAGUGCCUACUACUCAUUAUGGACUACUGCUUUGAUGCUCCAGUAUCCAUGGCAAGAAAUAUGUCAAAUUAUUUUUGUAUGCCACAACUGCUGCUCGUAUUUUACUAGCUAAAAAGUGGAAAACCCAAGAAUUACCAACGGUGGAGGAAUGGCAGAUGAAGAUGAUGGAGUUUUCGGAGCUAGCCGACCUUACCAGAAGAGUUUGCGACCAGAAGAAGCAGAGGUAUCAGGAAGAAUGGACAAAAUUUAACAAUUAUUUAGCUAAAUUUGUUAAGUUAAACUAAUUGGAAAUAGCUUGCAGGUGACAGAUUGGCUUAGGAAUUUAUAUAAGUUAAGCGAUGUUUAACAUGUACAAUUUUGAUUUGAAAAGAUAUAAGGAUGUUGAUGAACUAAGUUAGGUUUAUAAGAAUUAGGAUUUGGAAAGCCGUUAUAAGGAUAUGCAUGGAAAGUCAACCAAGGGGAAGCGAGGAAGUCACUUAACAAUGCUAAUAAGUGUAAUUUUAAUAAGGUUAUGAUUUAUGUUUGUUUGUUUGUGUGCUUUAUUUGUUUAUAAUUUUGUGAAAAUUAAUUGAAAAAAUUGAAGAAGAAAAAAGUAUCCGUGGUAGUACCCCUCUGCAGGCCCUCUUGAGCGGAAGAGGGGUGUUCUGUUUUUGCCUCCAAGGGGGCUUACCAUCGGCAUCUGGACUGACCAGUGGGAGAAAAGGAUGCUGAACUGGAGAGGCAUUUAAAAAACAAAACAAAACCCUCCCUGUGACUGCUUUUGACAAACAACGAAAGUGAUACUUAGAGAAGAUCAUGGAUCUUCUCUAAAGAUGUUUGGCCCUGAGGCAGGAAGUUGUCUAAGGGUAAAAUGCUGCUCACUAAUCUGGAUGGAGUUUUUGUUUCGAUUCAAUUUGUUUAACAGGAGCGAGAGAUCCGCCGUCUCACACAAGCCCACAAUCAUAUUGAGAGAGAGAGAGAUGGAUGCCUGCCAUUUAAAAUGCUUUUCGUUUAUUUAUUUUUUAAGGACAGACUAUCAUCUGUAAGACGAAUCAGCCUCUCUGCAGGCGUGUUGAAGACGAUGUGAGCCGUGUUCUAUGCUGCCAUAUCUCAGAAGCGUGGGAAGAAAAUUGCUGGGAUUAGUUCAUCAAAACGAUCCUUUCUUCCCAUGCAGAGAAGUCCCCCUUGUCUCACCAUCAUUUUUGCAUCAUUGUUCUAGACUGGAAUGAAGCUGGG